UACGUAGGAGGCAAGCGUUGUCCGGACUGACUGGGCGUAAAGCGCGCGCAGGCGGUGCGGGGCGCGGUGCUGAAAUCGGGCCGCUUAACGGCCCGCGGCGUGCCGAUACGCCCCGUACUGGAGGGUGGGCGAGGGUGGUGGAAUUGCCGGUGUAGUGGUGAAAUGCGUAGAGAUCGGCAGGAACACCCCGUGGCGAAAGCG
rnacentral:rRNA from 1 species